rnacentral:tRNA from 1 species
UCCCUGAAGGUCCAGAGGUUAAGACUCAGUGCUUUCACUGUGUUAGCCCAGGUUCAACCCCUGGUCAGAGAA